AGGCGCGCCGUUGACCGGAGGGAGGGCGAGCGGGCCCAGAGGAAAAGCCCCUAAGACCGGGAAGAUGGAGGAGGUCGCUGCGGCCGAGGGGGCGGGGGCCCCUCGCCUCCCUCCCGCGGGGUCACCUUGGCCAGGCCCCCCGCGGCCCCGGGCUGCGGGGAGGGCGGCAGGAAUGCCUCUCCGCAGGCCCUGAUUUCUCCGCCCAACCCAGUUCCAGGAACGCGCGGGCAGCGCCGGGCGGGCAGAGGCCCCAGCUUCGGAUUCGGGGAGGCGCAAGCCAGGGUUCGAGGCUGAGAUCAGACCCUCCCUCCAUGUCCCGGGUUGGUCCCCGCCCGUGGAAUUAGGACGAGGUCCGGCCGGGAUCAGUCCGGCCUUCCGAUCGGCCCCAGGCUUGGUCCCAGGAGCUGGGACAACCUGCGUGCGUCCCCAGCCUGAACUCCGCCGGGGUCCUUGGUCUCACCCGGACCCUCCGCUCCCGGCGCGGCGCCCAAGGUUAGGAGGUGGAAGGAGUGGAUGCCGGCGCGAGCUAAAGCCCAGCACCCGCAUAAACUGUCUUUUCCUGAAGCUUAUCCCGGACUCGCGUUCUUGAGUGUGUCUUGUUUGGGCCAGUCUGGAGCCCCUGCCCAGUUAUCUUCUCGCUGCUCUGCUGUCGGGUCGCAAUCUUGGUUCAAAAACAGUCCUCCUGCUAUUGGCCAGCCCUGCCGCCUCACGGUUGGCCUUGAGUCCAGGAGAGGAAAAGCAUCUUCUUGUAGAGAAGGAAACUGAGGCACAGAGAAGUAAGUUGGCCAAGGUCUUAGAAGCUAGUGAGAUGCGUAAGCUAGAUUGCAGUCUCAGUUGAUCUGAUUCCAAAGUUUGUGUUAUAACCCACUGGGGUGGGGGUUCAGAACAUCUGAGAGCGCCAGGCUCCAAAGGGUUUUUUGUUUGUUUGUUUGUUUGCGUUGUGCUUUUCUGGGAGGCAGCAUACCAGGCAGGCCAGGCUUGGCUUCCUCCUUCUUAGCAAAAGGUGGGUAAGGAGGGAUGUCUUCCUUCCUACCAUUACCCUGGGUUUCCUCCCUCUAAGAGUCCUUACUCUCAGCUCCCACACUUUGGUACCUGCUCCCCUCUCUUGUGUUAUGGAAGGUCUUACCUACAAGACUGUAAGUUUCCAAGUUCCCCAAAGAGUAGAACACAAGACAGUUUGUCACACCCCCCUCCAGGGUCCUGCCCAGUCCUGCCCAGUGCCUGUCACGUAGUAAAUAUUUCAUAAAUAUUACUGCAUAAAUAUAUCUGCUAUGAAUGUUUUCCCCCCCCAUAGUCAUAUGUUGAAGCACUAACCACCCCUUCCCAAUAUUAUACUAUUUGUAUAUGGGCCCUUUGGUAGCUAAUUGGGCUUAAAUGAGGUCAUGACAGUGGGGUCUCCAUGAUAGCAUCAGUGCCCUUAUAAGAAGAGAAAGAGCUCAGAACUUCCCUGCCUCCAGCCAUGUGAGGACAUGGCAAGAAUGCAGCCAUCUGCAAGCAAGGAAGAGAGUCCUCAUCAGGAACAGAAUCAGCCAGCACUUUGAACUUGGACUUCAGCCUCCAGAACUAGAGAGAGCACAGCAGGGGCAGCUACAGAGGAAGAGAAAGAAGCAGACUCCCCACUGAGCAGGGAGCCUGAUGUGGGGCUCGAUCCCAGGACCCUGGGAUCAUGACCAGAGCCGAAAGCAGAGGCUUUAACCCACUGAGCCACCCAGGCGCCCCAGUACCCUGCGAUCUUGACAUGAGCUGAAGGCAGUUGCUUAACUGACAGAGCCACCCAGGCGCCCUAGCAAUAAACACUUA